CAGCCGCCGCGGUAAUACGUAGGUGGCAAGCGUUGUCCGGAAUUAUUGGGCGUAAAGGGCUCGCAGGCGGUUUCUUAAGUCUGAUGUGAAAGCCCCCGGCUCAACCGGGGAGGGUCAUUGGAAACUGGGAAACUUGAGUGCAGAAGAGGAGAGUGGAAUUCCACGUGUAGCGGUGAAAUGCGUUGAGAUUGGAAAGAACACCAACGGCGAAAGCACUUUGCUGAGCCGACACUGACAUUGAGAGACGAAAUCUAGGGGAGCAAAUGGGACUAGAUACCCGCGUAGUCCCUGUCUCUUAUAC
rnacentral:rRNA from 1 species